UGCAACCUGAGAAGCUGGACGACUAGCACUACAAGUGUGGCGGUCUGUACGGCCAUAUACAGAAGACUUCACCUUUAUCAGUCCAGUGGCUAAAGAUAUAUAUAAGACUGUUUAUUUUCCUAUAGUGAUUUUGUUUUCUUACAUCUAUCAGAGGAUUAUUAUAUGCUGUUGGAGAAUAUAGGACAUUGAAGCUUACCACAAGUCAGGUGUUGGAUAUCACCAUAGCAGGCCUGCCCAUCUGCUGCUGGAUUGCGGAAAGUUUCUCAGUGGCAUUGUUGUUGGAUCUGCUGUCUGAGAGAAGACUUUUUUCAUCACAAGAUUUAAGCUGUGAGCAAAGCAUUAAAUGAGUCUAAUCUGAAGGGAACUUCAAAACUAGCACCAGGACAACAGUAGACAAUUUGGGUUCAUUGACAAUUGUCUAUGCAUCCAUGUCCACAUGUCAGAUUCAGUGUUGGUGCUUCUCAGCUCCUCCACCACCUUCUCUUUUGUCACUUUAUACCUUGCAGCAACCAUGUCCUUCAGUUUAUGCCUUGUAGGAAGCACAUAUGCUGGCUCAAGCUUCUUUACAAAAGCCCUCAUCCUCCAUCACUGAAAAUGGCUAUGAAUCCUUGAUUAUCAUGUCCACCAGAGUGUCAUCAAUGUCUUUUUGCCUUGCUGAAAAUAAAAUAACCAACCCCCCCCUUCACUUCCACCAGAUGUAUGCCCAUCAGCUACUUGCGGGUGUUUGGAGCGUAAGUGACACAACAUUGAGGUGUUAUAUCAGGUGUUGAUCACAAACCAUACACCUCACAAUAUUGUUUUCCAUGUUCUCAAACAAUCGACCUUGGUCUUUUUAUUCCACUCAUUUUACAAUAUAUCCUGAAGUGAGCACUGAUCAUAGAUCAGUACAAACACAACUGAUUCAUUUAAGUUUUAUUAACAUGCAUAAUAAACCUGACCCGAAAUCAAUUAAAACUAUAGUACAGACUGGUUUAUUGGUUCACUUUGACAUCAGCACCCUCUAGUGGUAGCGAUGGGGAAAUUGAGUCUAGUGAAGCUUCGAGAGUGUCGAAUACAGCGCCAUCUGUUGGUUAGUUAAAAACAAAUCAGCCAAAAGCCUGUGGACGAAUCUCCGUCGAAUGAAGCAGCCACCACACACACACACACACACACACAAAGUGCUGGUGAAAACUAUUCAGGUUUGAAAUGAAUUCUCGUACACAAACGGCAAAAAUUGCCCAAAUGUUCGCCAAAAAAUGAGGAAGACUACUCUCUUAAUUUUAUCUGUUAAACGAGUGACUUUAAAUUAAACUGCAAAAUUGCACACAUUUAGCAACUUAAAAUAAUUAUGCAGUCUUCUCCCUCAGUUUUAUUGGUUGAAUAUACAAAAUAUAUGAGUGGACUGAGAGGUGUGUGUGUGUGUGUGUGUGUGUGUGCGCGCGCAUCUUGGGCCAUCAAAAUCUCAUCACUAAAAUAAGAUCAUUAGUCUACAACCAGGCCCAAAGGCAUCUUUACCCUAUGAAGUGUUGUUAUAUAAAAUGAUCACACCACUGUCUGAAGGGUUCAAAUAUGUUUGGCUUGUAAUUGCCACCAAAAAAAGACUACCCUGACAAUAAUCUUUCUCUCUUUAGUUUAUGAUUU